GAUGAACGCUGGCGGCGUGCCUAAUACAUGCAAGCCGAGCGAACGGACGAGAAGCUUGCUUCUCUGAUGUUAGCGGCGGACGGGUGAGUAACACGUGGAUAACCUACCUAUAAGACUGGGAUAACUUCGGGAAACCGUAGCUAAUACCGGAUAAUAUUUUGAACCGCAUGGUUCAAAAGUGAAAGACGGUCUUGCUGUCACUUAUAGAUGGAUCCGCGCUGCAUUAGCUAGUUGGUAAGGUAACGGCUUACCAAGGCAACGAUGCAUAGCCGACCUGAGAGGGUGAUCGGCCACACUGGAACUGAGACACGGUCCAGACUCCUACGGGAGGCAGCAGUAGGGAAUCUUCCGCAAUGGGCGAAAGCCUGACGGAGCAACGCCGCGUGAGUGAUGAAGGUCUUCGGAUCGUAAAACUCUGUUAUUAGGGAAGAACAUAUGUGUAAGUAACUGUGCACAUCUUGACGGUACCUAAUCAGAAAGCCACGGCUAACUACGUGCCAGCAGCCGCGGUAAUACGUAGGUGGCAAGCGUUAUCCGGAAUUAUUGGGCGUAAAGCGCGCGUAGGCGGUUUUUUAAGUCUGAUGUGAAAGCCCACGGCUCAACCGUGGAGGGUCAUUGGAAACUGGAAAACUUGAGUGCAGAAGAGGAAAGUGGAAUUCCAUGUGUAGCGGUGAAAUGCGCAGAGAUAUGGAGGAACACCAGUGGCGAAGGCGACUUUCUGGUCUGUAACUGACGCUGAUGUGCGAAAGCGUGGGGAUCAAACAGGAUUAGAUACCCUGGUAGUCCACGCCGUAAACGAUGAGUGCUAAGUGUUAGGGGGUUUCCGCCCCUUAGUGCUGCAGCUAACGCAUUAAGCACUCCGCCUGGGGAGUACGACCGCAGGGUUGAAACUCAAAGGAAUUGACGGGGACCCGCACAAGCGGUGGAGCAUGUGGUUUAAUUCGAAGCAACGCGAAGGACCUUACCAAAUCUUGACAUCCUUUGACAACUCUAGAGAUAGAGCCUUCCCCUUCGGGGGACAAAGUGACAGGUGGUGCAUGGUUGUCGUCAGCUCGUGUCGUGAGAUGUUGGGUUAAGUCCCGCAACGAGCGCAACCCUUAAGCUUAGUUGCCAUCAUUAAGUUGGGCACUCUAAGUUGACUGCCGGUGACAAACCGGAGGAAGGUGGGGAUGACGUCAAAUCAUCAUGCCCCUUAUGAUUUGGGCUACACACGUGCUACAAUGGACAAUACAAAGGGCAGCGAAACCGCGAGGUCAAGCAAAUCCCAUAAAGUUGUUCUCAGUUCGGAUUGUAGUCUGCAACUCGACUACAUGAAGCUGGAAUCGCUAGUAAUCGUAGAUCAGCAUGCUACGGUGAAUACGUUCCCGGGUCU
rnacentral:rRNA from 1 species